UACGUAGGUGGCAAGCGUUGUCCGGAAUUACUGGGUGUAAAGCGCGUGUAGGCGGCAGACCAAGUCGGCGGUGAAAGCGCCCGGCUCAACUGGGCGAGGUCCGUGGAAACUGGUCAGCUGGAGGACGGUAGAGGCGAGUGGAAUUCCCGGUGUAGUGGUGAAAUUCGUAGAGAUUGGGUGGAACACCAGUGGCGAAGGCGCCUAUCUGGCUGACAACUGACGCUGAGACUCGAAAGCAUGGGGAGCAAACAGG
rnacentral:rRNA from 1 species